rnacentral:rRNA from 1 species
AUUGAACGCUGGCGGCAUGCUUUACACAUGCAAGUCGAACGGUAACAGGCCGCAAGGUGCUGACGAGUGGCGAACGGGUGAGUAAUGCAUCGGAACGUGCCCAGUCGUGGGGGAUAACGCAGCGAAAGCUGUGCUAAUACCGCAUACGAUCUAUGGAUGAAAGCGGGGGACCGUAAGGCCUCGCGCGAUUGGAGCGGCCGAUGUCAGAUUAGGUAGUUGGUGGGGUAAAGGCCUACCAAGCCGACGAUCUGUAGCUGGUCUGAGAGGACGACCAGCCACACGGCGACUGAGACACGGCACAGACGCCUACGGGAGGCAGCAGUGGGGAAUUUUGGACAAUGGGCGAAAGCCUGAUCCAGCAAUGCGGCGUGCAGGAAGAAGGCCUUCGGGUUGUAAACUGCUUUUGUACGGAACGAAACGGUCUGGGUUAAUACCCUGGGCUAAUGACGGUACCGUAAGAAUAAGCACCGGCUAACUACGUGCCAGCAGCCGCCGUAAGAC